UUUCUCACCUUUUUAGUGGCAGGAAGAAAGUUGCCAGAAGGUUGAGUGAGUCACCCACAGUCAUAAAGCCAGGAGGGCCUGUCCAAAGAAUGGAAGCAUAACCCCCUUCUGACAUGGUUAUCCAUGGCUCAGAACAUGAAGUCUCAUACAAAGCGAAUCCUGAUUUGAAUAAGAGCUUCACGACACUCUGGUUAUAUUACCUCCUCUUCAACGUUUCACCUACUCUUCCUCAAAUCUUGCCUGAAGAUCUUUGCAAAGGCCGUUCCCUCUGCCUGGGAAAUGUCCUUCCUCCUUUUCUGGGUUACAUAAGACUGCAACUUCCAUCUUGCUGAUCACCUUCUCACCUUAUAUGCUUUGAUGAAGCAAGCUCACAUGUUGGAAAAGCUCAAGGAAUUGAAUCCUGGCAACAACCACAUGAGUCUGGGAGUGGAUGCUUCACCCAGUCAACCUUCAGAUGAGAUCCCUGCCCUGGCCAACACCUUGAUUACAGCCUUGUGAGAGACCCUGAAGCUGAGUACUUAGCUAAGCAUGCCUCAACUCCUAACCCUCAGAAACUAAGAGAUAAUAAAUGUGUGUAGUGUUAAGCCACUAAGUCUUGGGGAUAAUUUCUUACACAGCAAUAGGUAGCUAAUAAGACAAAUAAGUGAAUAAGUCAGUAAGUGAAUGGAUUUGAAGUGAAGUGAAGUGAAGUGAAUGAAACUGAAGACCUCACUAAAGGAAGGGGAAACUAAGACCUGGUGGAGGUGAGGGGAUAGUGUAGAGAGAGUGGACUGAUAUGCUCAAAGACAAUUGUCCAUGCUUCCUGUUUGAUUUUGUUUCUCUCAACCAUAGAAUCUAAAGGAGGCGUUUAGGGGAAAACUCUUCCAAAGUUUUUAGAAUCAGAAAUUCAACAGAGAACCUGAUGGAAAGGGUCAUGGUCAAGGGAAUAAAGGACCUAGAGGAAUAAGGACUGGAGA